UUAAGUAUUAAGCAGCAAUACCAACUUUUUUUUCCAUUUUAAACAGCCUCUGCACCUUGAGGACAUGUUAGCCACCAAAAAGACACUGACAGCAGAGGAGGAAGAAGCUGUGGUGGAAGAGGAACUGCCACCAAUACUGCCAACUGCCAGUUAAGGGAGUGGCUGAAGUGUAGCUUCAUCAAGUGGGAGAAUGGACAUUUCUGGGUUAUUCCAAGACCCAGAUUUUAAUUUCAGGCAGAAGAAUUAUGGAGUCCUAAUGUUCAUCUUAUAUCUGAAGCAGGACUUCAUGGAAAUCUCCAUUACAUUGAUUCACAAUGUCUCUUGAUGUUUCAAAAAGUAUCCAAGAAGCCAUUUAAGGAUCCAUUACAUAUUAAACACCAAGGAGGAGGAGGAGAAGAGGAAGAGGAAGAGGAAGAGGAAGAGGAAGAAGAGGA